GUCUCGGUGGCGCAAUGGUAGCGCGUUGGACUUCUACUUCUCCUUGGAAAAGGACUGGAAAGAUCAAAAUCCAAAGGCUGCGGGUUCGAGCCCCGCCCGAGAUG